rnacentral:rRNA from 1 species
GAGUUUGAUCCUGGCUCAGGAUGAACGCUGGCGGCGUGCCUAAUACAUGCAAGUCGAGCGAACAGACGAGGAGCUUGCUCCUCUGACGUUAGCGGCGGACGGGUGAGUAACACGUGGAUAACCUACCUAUAAGACUGGGAUAACUUCGGGAAACCGGAGCUAAUACCGGAUAAUAUAUUGAACCGCAUGGUUCAAUAGUGAAAGACGGUUUUGCUGUCACUUAUAGAUGGAUCCGCGCCGCAUUAGCUAGUUGGUAAAGUAACGGCUUACCAAGGCAACGAUGCGUAGCCGACCUGAGAGGGUGAUCGGCCACACUGGAACUGAGACACGGUCCAGACUCCUACGGGAGGCAGCAGUAGGGAAUCUUCCGCAAUGGGCGAAAGCCUGACGGAGCAACGCCGCGUGAGUGAUGAAGGUCUUCGGAUCGUAAAACUCUGUUAUUAGGGAAGAACAAAUGUGUAAGUAACUAUGCACGUCUUGACGGUACCUAAUCAGAAGCCACGGCUAACUACGUGCCAG